AACAAACGCUGGCGGCGUGCCUAAUACAUGCAAGUCGAACGGGGAAAGCUUUCGGGUGAGUACUAGUGGCGCACGGGUGAGGAACGCGUGGAUAAUCUGCCUUAGAGUGGGGGAUAACUAGUCGAAAGAUUAGCUAAUACCGCAUAAGACCACGAGAGCUGCGGCUUUUGAGGUCAAAGGUUUUUCGCUCUAAGAUGAGUCCGCGUAAGAUUAGCUAGUUGGUGAGGUAACGGCUCACCAAGGCGACGAUCUUUAACUGGUCUGAGAGGAUGAUCAGUCACACUGGAACUGAGACACGGUCCAGACUCCUACGGGAGGCAGCAGUAGGGAAUAUUGCACAAUGGAGGAAACUCUGAUGCAGCGACGCCGCGUGAGUGAUGAAGGCCUUCGGGUCGUAAAGCUCUGUCGCAGGGGAAUAACAAAAUGAAGGUACCCUGUAAGAAAGGAUCGGCUAACUUCGUG
rnacentral:rRNA from 1 species